GAAAGCAGAUAUUUUAAAGACUGUCAGAUUACUACGCUAACUUACUGUGAUAAGGCAUAUUGAACAUUUACAGAGUAUGGUGCUGCCGUACUACUUUUGUUAAUGAUAACGUUCACACUAGUAGGGCACUGGGUAGCUUGUGUGUUUGAUGCCAUUGCAUUCUGGGAGUGACAGCACUUGGACAAAAGCCAUAGGAUGGUUAGAUAGUGUCGCCACAAGUACCAAUGAAACUUACGUUGCUAACGUUACAGAUAGUGAACCCAGCAUAAUCACAUCAUUUUACGUUACGUUGCUGACGUUACAGACAGUGAACCCAGCAUAGUCACAGCAUUUUAUGUUACGUUGCCGACGUCAAUAGGAUUAGGAAACGUGUCACCAAAUACUAACGCCGAGAAAAUAUUCUCAACAUUUGCUGUUCUGCUUGGUUGUAAAGAUGAUAUAUUUUGCGGUGAUCACAGUGACCUAGAAUGCACGGGAAAAUCGCUCUACUUUGUACUUGCACUUAAAUCAUACUGUGAUAUAAACAAGACAGAGUCACAUAUGCUGAAAGAAACUCUGAAUACUUCCCCAGAAUUUUCAGACAAAAAAAAUCAUGGAUGAAAUACAAGGUAAAUUUUAAGCGGCUCGACAAAGUGGGCGAUCUAACUGGCGCAGAAGAAUGACUAGCACCGUACCGCAGAUUGGAGAUGAGCCGACAUUUAGCCUAUAGCAAUAUAAAUACAGCGUUCAAAGACAAAUCAGUGAAAAUUUUCAGCUAUUACAACAGUGCCACAGUUCGUUUCCGGCGGAACUAACAUAUCAUUCUGGGAAACAUCAGACGAUGGGGCGCCCACUUGUAGUCGUCCACGUUCCUUGGAAGCUGAUGAUACAGCGCCACAUGUUAAAGUGAGACAAACGUCACUGUCAAGCCUCGUAGAAGUCGUCUGCAAACUUAAGUAUU